CCUACGGGAGGCAGCAGUGAGGAAUAUUGGUCAAUGGACGCGAGCCUGAACCAGCCAAGUAGCGUGAAGGAUGACUGCCCUAUGGGUUGUAAACUUCUUUUAUAUAGGAAUAAAGUGAAGUACGUAUACUGUUUUGUAUGUACUUUAUGAAUAAGGAUCGGCUAACUCCGUGCCAGCAGCCGCGGUAAUACGGAGGAUCCGAGCGUUAUCCGGAUUUAUUGGGUUUAAAGGGAGCGUAGGUGGAGGCUUAAGUCAGUUGUGAAAGUUUGCGGCUCAACCGUAAAAUUGCAGUUGAGACUGGGAGUCUUGAGUGCAGUAGAGGUAGGCGGAAUUCGUGGUGUAGCGGUGAAAUGCUUAGAUAUCACGAAGAACUCCGAUUGCGAAGGCAGCUUACUAAACUGUAACUGACACUGAUGCUCGAAAGUGUGGGUAUCAAACAGGAUUAGAUACCCUAGUAGUC
rnacentral:rRNA from 1 species